UACGUAGGUGACCAGCGUUGUCCGGAUUUACUGGGCGUAAAGAGCGCGCAGGCGGUCGAUCAAGUCGAGUGUGAAAGCCCCCGGCUCAACUGGGGAGGGUCAUUCGAUACUGGUCGACUUGAAGGCAGGAGAGGGUAGCGGAAUUCCCGGUGUAGUGGUGAAAUGCGUAGAUAUCGGGAGGAACACCAGUGGCGAAGGCGGCUACCUGGCCUGUUCUUGACGCUGAGGCGCGAAAGCUAGGGGAGCAAACGGGAUUAGAUACCCCGGUAGUCCUAGCCGUAAACGAUGGACACUAGGUGUUGGUGGUAUCAACCCCACCAGUGCCGAAGCUAACGCAUUAAGUGUCCCGCCUGGGGAGUACGGCCGCAAGGCUA
rnacentral:rRNA from 1 species